AGAGUUUGAUCAUGGCUCAGAACGAACGCUGGCGGCAUGCCUAACACAUGCAAGUCGAACGUGAUCCAGGCUUCGGUCUGGUGAAAGUGGCAGACGGGUGAGUAACGCGUGGGAACCUGCCCUGUGGUAGGGAAUAACCGCGGGAAACUGCGGCUAAUACCCUAUGUGUCCUGAGGGACAAAGAUUUAUCGCCAUAGGAGGGGCCCGCGUCGGAUUAGGUAGUUGGUGGGGUAACGGCCUACCAAGCCAUCGAUCCGUAGCUGGUCUGAGAGGAUGAUCAGCCACACUGGGACUGAGAUACGGCCCAGACUCCUACGGGAGGCAGCAGUGGGGAAUAUUGGACAAUGGGGGCAACCCUGAUCCAGCAAUGCCGCGUGGAUGAUGAAGGCCUUCGGGUUGUAAAGUCCUUUCGGCGGGGAAGAUGAUGACGGUACCCGCAGAAGAAGCCCCGGCUAACUUCGUGCCAGCAGCCGCGGUAAUACGAAGGGGGCUAGCGUUGUUCGGAAUUACUGGGCGUAAAGGGCGCGUAGGCUGUGCUGCAAGUCAGGCGUGAAAGGCCCGGGCUCAACCUGGGAACUGCGCAUGAUACUGCGGCGCUUGAAGACGGGAGAGGAUGGCGGAAUUCCCAGUGUAGAGGUGAAAUUCGUAGAUAUUGNNAAGAACACCGGUGGCGAAGGCGGCCAUCUGGCCCGUGAUUGACGCUGANGCGCGAAAGCGUGGGGAGCAAACAGGAUUAGAUACCCUGGUAGUCCACGCUGUAAACGAUGAGUGCUAGACGUCGGGGAGCUUGCUCUUCGGUGUCGCCGCUAACGCAUUAAGCACUCCGCCUGGGGAGUACGGUCGCAAGAUUAAAACUCAAAGGAAUUGA
rnacentral:rRNA from 1 species